UACGAAGGGGGCUAGCGUUGCUCGGAAUGACUGGGCGUAAAGGGCGCGUAGGCGGAUGGCACAGUCAGAUGUGAAAUUCCCGGGCUUAACCUGGGGGCUGCAUUUGAUACGUGUUGUCUUGAGUUCGGAAGAGGGUCGUGGAAUUCCCAGUGUAGAGGUGAAAUUCGUAGAUAUUGGGAAGAACACCGGUGGCGAAGGCGGCGACCUGGUCCGACACUGACGCUGAGGCGCGAAAGCGUGGGUAGCAAACAGG
rnacentral:rRNA from 1 species